UGUGGGAGCUGGCUUGCCUGCGAUCGCAUCGUUGCGGUGUAACUGAUACACCGUGUGGGCUGCAUCGCAGGCAAGCCAGCUCCCACA
rnacentral:misc_RNA from 1 species